AGGGUGCUUUGUGUAGCACUGAGGUGGGUAGUUCUUCACGUGAUCCGUGGACCACUGAGGCUCAGCCUCAUAUACCACUAGCUUUUGGAUUGUUUGAUGGUGCAUCACAUGUACGCCUUCGACCAUCAGUUACUUUGCCUACAUCACAUGUCGAUACCACUACUAGUAUUGGUAUGGCUAUGGGAUUGAGCCAGAUGCAACCAUCCACAUUGUCAUUUGAGGACUUGACUACAACCACUUUUCUUGUUCAUGAUAGUGCACCUCCACAUACUAGUGAGGGCAUUGUAGAGCACGGUCAUAUGGAGGGUGUAGACACUGAUACUGCACAGGAGGGUGGAGUCACUGAUACUACACAGGAGGGUGGAGACACUGAUACUGCAUAGACACAAGAUGGUGCAUCUCAGGACCACGUGCAACAGGAUGAUUCAUCUCAGUCACCUUCACGUGGAGUGAAGAGGACUGCAUAUGAGAUGCACGCAAGUUCUUAGAUUGUAUAUUUUAGAUCAUGUCGUGUUAUUGUAUUAUGGACUUCUUAUGAUGACACUUGUUAUGUUAUCCUGAGACUUGUUAUUAUGUGAUUAUAUAUAGGACUCAUUGUUAUGUGAUUAUAUAUAGGACUUUUUAUCAUUUCAUUUCCUUGCUAUUAUGAUAUCAUGUUAUGUUAUGUGAUUUGGCGCACUCUAGUGAU